GGGGGGGGGGGGGGGGGGGGGGGGGGGGGGGGGGGCGGGGGGGGGGGCGGUGCUGGGGGGGGGUGCUCGGGGGGCGAGCGGGUGGGUGCCACGUGGGUCCCCUGCCCUUGACUUCGGGAUGACUUCAGGACGCUGGGGCUAACCCCGGAUAGGAGCUCCUGCUGCAUGGUGGGGGUUGGAAGGGUUCGGCGGUGGGGGAUGGACUCGCGGCUUAUCAGCUUGUUGGUGGGGUCGUGGCUUACCCAGGCUUUGACGGGUAGACGUCCGGAGAGGGUGACCGGCCACAUGGGGACUGAGAUACGGCCCAGACUCCUACGGGAGGCAGCAGUGGGGAAUAUUGCACAAUGGGCGGAAGCCUGAUGCAGCAACGCCGCGUGCGGGAUGACGGCCGUCGGGUUGUAAACCGCUUUCGCCUGUGACGAAGCGUGAGUGACGGUAAUGGGUAAAGAAGCACCGGCUAACUACGUG
rnacentral:rRNA from 1 species